rnacentral:rRNA from 1 species
UACAGAGACUGCGAGCGUUAUUCGGAUUCACUGGGCGUAAAGGGUGCGUAGGCGGCGGGGCAAGUCUGAUGUGAAAUCCCGGGGCUCAACCCCGGAACUGCAUUGGAUACUGCCUUGCUUGAGUACUGGAGAGGGAACUGGAAUUUACGGUGUAGCAGUGAAAUGCGUAGAGAUCGUAAGGAAGGCCAGUGGCGAAGGCGAGUUCCUGGACAGUUACUGACGCUGAGGCACGAAGGCCAGGGGAGCAAACGGG